CCGAUAAUAAUAAGCUUGGAUUCCAAAGUUUGAACCUUUAAUCCGGUAAUUCUCUCACCUAAUUCUCAGUCUUUGUAAAGUCUGAGGCAUUCAAAUAGAAAAGGGAAGAAGGGAAAUCAGUUUCAUCUCGAAUUUCAUAGGGAUUUAGACCUUCUUGGCUUAUUUCUGAGGAUCGAUGACUUUUUAGGGGCAGUUGCUGCAAGUAGUCCUAACUUUAUUACUGGAAUCCUCUGGUAAGUGCUAUGUUUUGUAGAAUUCUGUAACUUCUUGGCUUAUUUCUGAGGAUCGAUGACUUUUUAGGGGCAGUUGCUGCAAGUAGCCCUAACUUUAUUACUGGAAUCCUCUGUUAAGUGCUAUGUUUUGUAGAAUUCUGUAACUGCUGCAAUUAAGUUACCUUCUCAGCUUGGUUCUUUUCUUUGUAUUAACAUUUGGUUGAUGCCUCAUCAUGUGCACUUUUGUAUACAGUUAACAUACAUGUCCCUUAGUAGUGUCAUUGAUGCCUUUUUGUUAAUCUUCCGCAAUAUUCUUAAUUUCAAAGCUUAAUUCUAUACAUGAACUUCAGUAGUUCAUUGUUGUUCCCUUCUAUUGCAUUCUUCUUUUGCUGAUAUUGAUAUGAGUUACAGAUUCAUACGUAGUGUUUAAUUUUCAAACGAAUCUAUGGGAUAUUUAUAGUCAGUGAAUGCUGUUCUGUUGGGUUUGUAUUACCUAAAUAGUGAAGUGAUGCAUAAUAAUGGAUUUGAUAUCAUUUAACUGUAUCCUUUAUUAUGUAUCAUUUCACUAUUUAGGUAAUCAAUUUCCAGUUUCCAAUUGGUUUCCUCCUCUUAGUAAAUUUUUGGAUUUUGAGUAUGAAUUUUCCUUGCUCUCGAUUUUUGUUUGCAGAUUUUGAAGAAAUUUUAUAAGCAGUGUGAUCCUGGUCAGUGGUCACUGUUUCAGUCUCCUUUUCUAAAUUUUAUUCCCUGCUGAAUUACUAUUUGUUGCUGCACCACUUUUUGUAUAGAUAGAACUGCAGCAAACAAUGCUUUUGGAGAGACUCAUGACCAACUUUUGAUAGGCUAACACCUUUUGUAUAUAUACACCUGGAACAACUAUUUUUUAGAAAAUGUUCCAGCAGCAAUUGUAACCAAGUUGACCUUAAACUAAGAUAGCCUAUUUUUUGAAAACUACUAUAAUGGAAAAUGUUGCCAGUAGAAACGUUAAUUCAUCUUUUGUUUUAGAUGAUCUGCAGUGAUGAUAUUGUACUAUUUUGUCAUAUUGUACAAUUUUGUCUGAGA